CAACAAGCUGUGGCUGUGCUACCUCGUCUGUGACCUCGUUAACUGUCCCUGUGGUGUUAAUUGGAUUUGAUUUUAUAUUUUUCUAAGGCCUACUUACUGCAUACUAAGCAAGCUGUAGCCUAUGCUGUCUAAUUCUAAUAACACUGAACGUAACCAGCAAGUGCACACGUUCAGUGUAAGUGAUUGGUCUCGAUUUGAUUUUAUAUUUUUCAAAGUUUGAAAGCAAAAUGUUG